rnacentral:rRNA from 1 species
CCUACGGGUGGCUGCAGUGGGGAAUAUUGGACAAUGGGCGAAAGCCUGAUCCAGCCAUGCCGCGUGUGUGAAGAAGGCCUUCGGGUUGUAAAGCACUUUCAGUGGGGAAGAAAGCCUUGGGGCUAAUACCCUCGAGGAAGGACAUCACCCACAGAAGAAGCACCGGCUAACUCCGUGCCAGCAGCCGCGGUAAUACGGAGGGUGCGGGCGUUAAUCGGAAUUACUGGGCGUAAAGCGCGCGUAGGCGGUCUGAUAAGCCGGUUGUGAAAGCCCCGGGCUCAACCUGGGAACGGCAUCCGGAACUGUCAGGCUAGAGUGCAGGAGAGGAAGGUAGAAUUCCCGGAGUAGCGGUGAAAUGCGUAGAGAUCGGGAGGAAUACCAGUGGCGAAGGCGGCCUUCUGGACUGACACUGACGCUGAGGUGCGAAAGCGUGGGUAGCAAACAGGAUUAGAUACCCGGGUAGUC